rnacentral:rRNA from 1 species
AGUGAACGCUGGCGGUAGGCCUAACACAUGCAAGUCGAACGGCGGCACAGUAAGAGCUUGCUCUUACGGGUGGCGGGUGGCGGACGGGUGAGGAAUACAUCGGAAUCUACUUUUUCGUGGGGGAUAACGUAGGGAAACUUACGCUAAUACCGCAUACGACCUACGGGUGAAAGCAGGGGAUCUUCGGACCUUGCGCGAUUGAAUGAGCCGAUGUCGGAUUAGCUAGUUGGCGGGGUAAAGGCCCACCAAGGCGACGAUCCGUAGCUGGUCUGAGAGGAUGAUCAGCCACACUGGAACUGAGACACGGUCCAGACUCCGACGGGAGGCAGCAGUGGGGAAUAUUGGACAAUGGGCGCAAGCCUGAUCCAGCCAUACCGCGUGGGUGAAGAAGGCCUUCGGGUUGUAAAGCCCUUUUGUUGGGAAAGAAAAGCAGCAGGUUAAUACCCCGCUGUUCUGACGGUACCCAAAGAAUAAGCACCGGCUAACUUCGUG